GAGUGAACGCUGGCGGUAGGCCUAACACAUGCAAGUCGAACGGCAGCACAGUAAGAGCUUGCUCUUACGGGUGGCGAGUGGCGGACGGGUGAGGAAUACAUCGGAAUCUACUUUUUCGUGGGGGAUAACGUAGGGAAACUUACGCUAAUACCGCAUACGACCUACGGGUGAAAGCAGGGGAUCUUCGGACCUUGCGCGAUUGAAUGAGCGGAUGUCGGAUUAGCUAGUUGGCGGGGUAAAGGCCCACCAAGGCGACGAUCCGUAGCUGGUCUGAGAGGAUGAUCAGCCACACUGGAACUGAGACACGGUCCAGACUCCUACGGGAGGCAGCAGUGGGGAAUAUUGGACAAUGGGCGCAAGCCUGAUCCAGCCAUACCGCGUGGGUGAAGAAGGCCUUCGGGUUGUAAAGCCCUUUUGUUGGGAAAGAAAAGCAGCAGGUUAAUACCCCGCUGUUCUGACGGUACCCAAAGAAUAAGCACCGGCUAACUUCGUG
rnacentral:rRNA from 1 species